AGUCUGGCCUGCCCUAUGAAUAAUUUUAUUUAAAUGGCCGCGGUACUUUGACCGUGCAAAGGUAGCAUAAUAAUUAGUUUUUUAAUUGGGAACUGGUAUGAAAGGUUUGACGAAGGAAAGACUGUCUCAGUUUAAUUUUAAAUUAGAGUUUUAUUUUUAAGUAAAAAAGCUUAAAUAAUUUUAAAAGACGAGAAGACCCUAUAGAAUUUUAUAUUCAUUUAUGUAUUUAAAAGGUUUAGUAUUAUAGAUUUAAAUAUAUAUAUAUAUAUUUGGUUGGGGCAACUAAAAAAUUUAAUUAACUUUUUUUAUAUUAAACCAUUGAUAUAUGAGUAAGUGAUCCAUAUUUUUUGAUUAUAAGAUU
rnacentral:rRNA from 1 species